rnacentral:pre_miRNA from 1 species
AGCUUUCUGAAUCCGUGCUGAGAUUUUGUCAGGCACCAACCCAUUAAGUCUGAUCAGACUUCCAAGUGAAGUU